GAUGAAGAACGCAGUGAAAUGCGAUAAGUAGUGUGAAUUGCAGAAUUCAGUGAAUCAUCGAAUCUUUGAACGCACAUUGCGCCCUUUGGUAUUCCUUAGGGCAUGCCUGUUCGAGCGUCAUUUAAACCUUCAAGCUCAGCUUGGUGUUGGGUGACUGUCCGCCGCCUCCGGGCGGUCGGACUCGCCUCCAAUUGAUUGGCGGCCGGUACUUUGGCUUCGAGCGCAGCAGAAACGCGAACUCGAGGCCGUCGUCCUGGCUCCCAGAAGCUAUCUUCACAAUUUUGACCUCGGAUCAGGUAGGGAUACCCGCUGAACUUAAGCAUAUCAAUAAGCGGAGGA
rnacentral:misc_RNA from 1 species